rnacentral:rRNA from 1 species
AUUGAACGCUGGCGGCAUGCUUUACACAUGCAAGUCGAACGGUAACAGGGUGCUUGCACCGCUGACGAGUGGCGAACGGGUGAGUAAUGCGUCGGAACGUGCCGAGUAGUGGGGGAUAACGCAGCGAAAGUUGUGCUAAUACCGCAUACGUACUGAGGUAGAAAGUGGGGGACCUUCGGGCCUCACGCUAUUCGAGCGGCCGACGUCUGAUUAGCUAGUAGGUGAGGUAAAGGCUCACCUAGGCGACGAUCAGUAGCGGGUCUGAGAGGAUGAUCCGCCACACUGGGACUGAGACACGGCCCAGACUCCUACGGGAGGCAGCAGUGGGGAAUUUUGGACAAUGGGCGAAAGCCUGAUCCAGCCAUGCCGCGUGUCUGAAGAAGGCCUUCGGGUUGUAAAGGACUUUUGUCGGGGAGGAAAUCCCCAGCGUUAAUACCGCUGGGGGAUGACAGUACCUGAAGAAUAAGCACCGGCUAACUACGUGCCAGCCGCCGCGGUAACAC